AUUGAACGCUGGCGGCAUGCCUUACACAUGCAAGUCGAACGGUAACAGGUUAAGCUGACGAGUGGCGAACGGGUGAGUAAUGUAUCGGAACGUGCCCAGUCGUGGGGGAUAACUGCUCGAAAGAGCAGCUAAUACCGCAUACGACCUGAGGGUGAAAGCGGUGGAUCGCAAGACCUCGCGCGAUUGGAGCGGCCGAUAUCAGAUUAGGUAGUUGGUGAGGUAAAGGCUCACCAAGCCGACGAUCUGUAGCUGGUCUGAGAGGACGACCAGCCACACUGGGACUGAGACACGGCCCAGACUCCUACGGGAGGCAGCGGUGGGGAAUUUUGGACAAUGGGCGCAAGCCUGAUCCAGCCAUGCCGCGUGCGGGAAGAAGGCCUUCGGGUUGUAAACCGCUUUUGUCAGGGAAGAAAAGGUUCUGGCUAAUACCUGGGACUCAUGACGGUACCUGAAGAAUAAGCACCGGCUAACUACGUG
rnacentral:rRNA from 1 species